rnacentral:lncRNA from 1 species
AAGACAGCUGUCUCCAAGCUAGAAAGAGCCGGCACACUGACCUUCAACUUCACAGCCCCUGAAACUGAGGCUCUUCCUGGGUUUCUGCUCCCUGCACUGCAGCCUGGAGAUCAUCCGCAGAGCACGCUGUUGGAAGGAUGAGCACUCAUCCACAGAAGUAGCCAGAGCAGCCUUGCUAGAGGAACGCCCACCCUCUGUCCACAACAGUCUGCUCAUAGGCCUGCUGAGUAAACACAAGGUGGCUGCAGAAAGGUUGGAUUGAUAGCCUAGAACAGUUUACUCAUCCUGCAGACUUCUAAUAGCCUUGUCUGUAAUUACUGACUUCUGCUUAGUACUGAUAAUGGAAAUAAAUAACUUUACCCUCUGAGACAA